CCUACGGGUGGCAGCAGUGGGGGAUAUUGCACAAUGGGGGAAACCCUGAUGCAGCGACGCCGCGUGAGUGAAGAAGUAUUUCGGUAUGUAAAGCUCUAUCAGCAGGGAAGAAAAUGACAGUACCUGACCAAGAAGCCCCGGCGAACGACGUGCCAGCAGCCGCGGUAAUACGGAGGGGGCAAGCGUUAUCCGGAUUUACUGGGUGUAAAGGGAGCGUAGACGGUUCUGUACGUCUGGAGUGAAAGCCCGGGGCCCAACCCCGGGACUGCUUUGGAAACUGUGUAACUGGAGUACAGGAGGGGCAGGCGGACUUCCUGGUGUAGCGGUGAAAUGCGUCGAUAUCAGGAGGCACACCGGCGGCGCAGGCGGCCUGCUGGACUGCACCUGACGUUGAGGCUC
rnacentral:rRNA from 1 species